UGGGUCAUUACAUUGAGCCUGUUUACAUAACCAUGAAAAUCUGAUAACUGGGAGUAAUCAGAUAAUUUUAAUAAUCAGAUCUGACAUGUUUACAUACACUUAAGAAAUGUGA